AGGAUGAACGCUAGCGGCAGGCCUAAUACAUGCAAGGCGAGGGGGCAUUUUCGAAUGUCACCGUCGUACGGGUGCGUAACGCGUAUGCAACCUACCUUCGACAGGGGGACAGCCCGGGGAAACCCGGAUUAACACCGCAUGAAACGGGGGUCCGGCAUCGGAUCCUUUGUUAAACAUUUAUGGGUCGAAGAUGGGCAUGCGUCCGAUUAGCUAGCUGGCGGGGUAACGGCCCACCAGGGCGACGAUCGGUAGGGGGGCCGGGAGGUCUAUCCCCCACACGGGCACUGAGACACGGGCCCGACUCCUACGGGAGGCAGCAGUAGGGAAUAUUGGGCAAUGGAUGAGAGUCUGACCCAGCCAUGCCGCGUGCCGGAUGAAGGCCCUCAGGGUCGUAAACGGCUUUUACCGGGGAAGAAGAGAGACCAUGCGUGGUUUGUGACGGUACCCGGUGAAUAAGCACCGGCUAACUCCGCGCCAGCAGCCGC
rnacentral:rRNA from 1 species